CUUCUCCCUGUUGUUCUUCCCUCCUUUUUUCCCCUCUAUCUCUUCUCUUGUUAUAUUUUCCUUAAAGAAAUACCUGUCUUACUGUAUUACAGAUUCAUUCUUAAUUUUUCAGUGUUUCCUGAUGUUUUACGUGUUUGUUGAGAUUUGCCACCAGAAGGGUCCCCGGCAUCCUUCCUCAGCUCCUCUCUGAGGAAGCAGAGUCCAGUAACAUGGAAGAGAACAGCAAAAUCUAGAAAAAGAAAAGCAGGCAGGUUGGCGUGGCGGUGCUGGGCCUGGACUCAGAAUUCUCAAGUCCUGGAUUCAAGUGUACGACAAUUGGCUGAACAAAAAAUGGACAAGCAAAGCAAUGCAGGGCCUGAUUUGUAAAGAACACACAGUUUACUACUUUGAGAAUAGGAGUUCUGGUUCAACACGGCAACACUGGAAGAUCCUGAACUGCCCUGGACCCACAGACCCUACAACUGCAUAAGGAAUAAUUUCCUCUGAAAAAGACCUAGAAACUAGCUGAACACCUCCUACCUGGGAGGUGAAGAAGAAGAAAAGACCAGCAUUGAAGGAGAUGCUGAGGGCAUCUUUAUGGACACCCCCACCACCAAAGGAUUUGCAAACCCUGGUUCAAGGCCAGGGGCACCAGGCUGCAAGGAAAGCACCAGGAGAGCGAAGUGCAUGGAUGAGGACGGUCAGAAGCACCAGAGACAGCCGAAGGACUCCUCAAAUGUUUCCACCCACAUCCUUGUGAGCAGAGGAUAGAGAGGGAACCUGGGUUGGUGAGGGGAGAAGGGUAGCCUAGAGAGACCUGUUAAUUGAUGUGUUGAUUGAGCUUAAAAAAAUCUCAAGUAAUUUAUUUUCAAUCCCAGGAUCUGCUCACGUUUACUUUGAUGUAAACAUGGUUUCAGAUGACUAACAUGCUAAUCUGAGCUUGAAAAAGAGGCGCCAUGCUUCUGGGAGGACGAUGCCUGCCUCGCUACCCCUGGGCUGUGUUCACCUUGAGGAACACGGACCUGGGGCCAGCUCUUGACAAAAUGAAUGCGAAGUGAGUUACUCGAAGCCCACUCCUGACUAAUGUCUUCUUUUUUCAGUCCUAAUGCAAAAUGGGCAAAGUAAUCUAAGGGGAGUGUCCCCCUCCUUCUAGCUCUUCUACGCUGCCUCUGAAGAAUUAAUGGAAAGCAUAACUUGGUGACUUCCGUCUUUGUCUGUACCUCAACUGCUAGUGAUUCAGCUUCUCCGUUGGGAUGAUUCCACCCCACCCCCACCUGCUUCUGCUAUGUAAAAUAUAGUCAGAAACAAAUUGCUGGUAAGAAAUCCAAAUUGGUGGCAAAUGCAAAUUUAUCCAAUCCACCCAAAUUAUCUUUCUCUUCUCGCCCUUGUGGAAGUAAGAGAUUUUAAUUAAGUGCCAGCAGAGGCACAGGGCAAGCCUUACAAGUUAAGUAUUGAGGAAAACGGUCUAGUUUUUCCAUGUCUUUUAAAGGUCAUCUUCCUGCUGGGUUUUACCGUAUGCUCCCUUAGCAUGGGAGACUCCUGGGCCUGCGUGACUGACCCCUGUGUGAGGUGACUGAUAGAACUUUUCCAACAUUGCCAUAAAUCAUUCCCCUUUCAAAAUGAAAAUAAAACCUAACCAAACAAGACAAAUUAGGAGAGA